GAGUUUGAUCCUGGCUCAGAACGAACGUUGGCGGCGUGGAUUAGGCAUGCAAGUCGAGCGAAUCCCUGGGGGCUUGCUCUCAGGGGGAAGCGGCGAAAGGGGCAGUAAUGCAUGGCUAACCUACCCCGGGGACGGGGAUAGCUACCCUAACGGGUAGGUAAUACCCGGCGAUCUGGCGAGGGGGCCUCCCUUUGCCAGGAAACGAAUUUCGCCUCGGGAGGGGGCCAUGUGGUAUUAGCUAGUUGGUGGGGUAACGGCCCACCAAGGCUUAGAUGCCUAGCGGGUGUGAGAGCAUGACCCGCGCCAUUGGCACUGAGACACUGGCCAGACUCCUACGGGAGGCUGCAGUCGAGAAUCUUCGACAAUGGGCGCAAGCCUGACCGAGCGACGCCGCGUGUGCGACGAAGGCCUUCGGGUUGUAAAGCACUGUCGAGGGGGAGGAAGCCGAAAGGUUGACCUAUCCCUGGAGGAAGCACGGGCUAAGUUCGUGCCAGCAGCCGCGGUAAGACGAACCGUGCGAACGUUGUUCGGAAUCACUGGGCUUAAAGGGCGCGUAGGCGGGUGGCCAAGUCUGGGGUGAAAUCCUCCAGCUUAACUGGAGAACAGCUUCGGAUACUGGCCAUCUUGAGGGGGGUAGGGGCGUGUGGAACUGUAGGUGGAGCGGUGAAAUGCGUUGAUAUCUACAGGAACUCCGGUGGCGAAGGCGACACGCUGGACCUUUUCUGACGCUGAGGCGCGAAAGCCAGGGGAGCAAACGGGAUUAGAUACCCCGGUAGUCCUGGCCCUAAACGUUGAGAACUAGGUAGUGGACUUGACAUGGGUUCACUGCCGAAGCAAAAGUGCUAAGUCUCCG
rnacentral:rRNA from 1 species